rnacentral:rRNA from 1 species
UACGUAGGGCGCAAGCGUUAUCCGGAAUUAUUGGGCGUAAAGAGCUCGUAGGCGGUUUGUCGCGUCUGCCGUGAAAGUCCGGGGCUCAACUCCGGAUCUGCGGUGGGUACGGGCAGACUAGAGUGAUGUAGGGGAGACUGGAAUUCCUGGUGUAGCGGUGAAAUGCGCAGAUAUCGGGAGGAACACCGGUGGCGAAGGCGGUUCUCUGGGCCUUACCUGACGCUGAGGAGCGAAAGCGUGGGGAGCGAACAGG